AUUCCUACGGGAGGCAGCAGUCGAGAAUCUUUCACAAUGGGGGCAACCCUGAUGGAGCGACGCCGCGUGGAGGAUAAGGUCUUCGGAUUGUAAACUCCUGUCAUGUGGGAACAAGGUUGCAGUGUUAAUAGCAUUGCAAAUUGAUGGUAUCACAAGAGGAAGAGACGGCUAACUCUGUGCCAGCAGCCGCGGUAAUAAU
rnacentral:rRNA from 1 species